rnacentral:rRNA from 1 species
AUUGACGCUGGCGGCAUGCCUUACACAUGCAAGUCGAACGGCAGCACGGGAGCAAUCCUGGUGGCGAGUGGCGAACGGGUGAGUAAUAUAUCGGAACGUGCCCAGUCGUGGGGAUAACGUAGCGAAAGCUACGCUAAUACCGCAUACGAUCUAUGGAUGAAAGCGGGGGGAUCGCAAGACCUCGCGCGAUUGGAGCGGCCGAUAUCAGAUUAGGUAGUUGGUGAGGUAAAGGCUCGCCAAGCCGACGAUCUGUAGCUGGUCUGAGAGGACGACCAGCCACACUGGGACUGAGACACGGCCCAGACUUCCACGGGAGGCAGCAGUGGGGAAUUUUGGACAAUGGGCGGCAAGCCUUGAUCCAGCAAUGCGCGUGCAGGAUGAAGG